GAGUUUGAUCAUGGCUCAGGAUGAACGCUGGCGGCGUGCUUAACACAUGCAGGUCACGGGGGCUCGGGGCGCAAGCCUUGGGUAACCGGCGAACGGGUGCGUAACACGUGAGCAACCUACCGAAAUGAGGGGGAUAGCCGGCCCAACGGCCGGGUAAUACCGCAUACGCUCGAGGAGAGGCAUUUCAUCUCGAGGAAACCUCCGGGGCAUUUCGAGGGGCUCGCGGCCUAUCAGCUAGUUGGUGAGGUAACGGCUCACCAAGGCUACGACGGGUAGCUGGUCUGAGAGGAUGGCCAGCCACAUUGGGACUGAGAUACGGCCCAGACUCCUACGGGAGGCAGCAGUGGGGAAUCUUGCGCAAUGGCCUAACGGCUGACGCAGCGACGCCGCGUGAGGGAUGACGCUCUUCGGAGUGUAAACCUCUUUUGCCUGAGACGAAUUGUCAGCUUUAGCUGAUUUGACUGUAUCGGGUGAAUAAGCACCGGCUAACUCCGUGCCAGCAGCCGCGGUAAUACGGGGGGUGCGAGCGUUGUCCGGAAUCACUGGGCGUAAAGGGCGCGUAGGUGGCCUGAUAAGGGUGUGGUGAAAGUCCGGGGCUCAACCCCGGAUCGGCCGUGCCGACUGUCAGGCUGGAGUACCGUAGGGGCAGGCGGAAUUCCGGGUGUAGCGGUGGAAUGCGUAGAGAUCCGGAGG
rnacentral:rRNA from 1 species